rnacentral:rRNA from 1 species
GACGAACCGUACGAACGUUAUUCGGAAUCACUGGGCUUAAAGGGUGCGUAGGCGGUGCAGAAAGUUGGGUGUGAAAUCCCUCGGCUCAACCGAGGAACUGCGCCCAAAACUACUGUGCUGGAGGAAGACAGAGGUGAGCGGAACGUAGGGUGGAGCGGUGAAAUGCGUUGAUAUCCUAUGGAACACCGGUGGCGAAAGCGGCUCACUGGGUCUUUUCUGACGCUGAGGCACGAAAGCCAGGGGAGCGAACGGG